rnacentral:rRNA from 1 species
UGGGGAAUUUUGGACAAUGGGCGAAAGCCUGAUCCAGCAAUGCUGCGUGUGUGAAGAAGGCCUUCGGGUUGUAAAGCACUUUUGUCCGGAAAGAAAUCCUUGGCUCUAAUACAGUCGGGGAUGACGGUACCGGAAGAAUAAGCACCGGCUAACUACGUGCCAGCAGCCGCGGUAAUACGUAGGGUGCAAGCGUUAAUCGGAAUUACUGGGCGUAAAGCGUGCGCAGGCGGUUUGCUAAGACCGAUGUGAAAUCCCCGGGCUCAACCUGGGAACUGCAUUGGUGACUGGCAGGCUAGAGUAUGGCAGAGGGGGGUAGAAUUCCACGUGUAGCAGUGAAAUGCGUAGAGAUGUGGAGGAAUACCGAUGGCGAAGGCAGCCCCCUGGGCCAAUACUGACGCUCAUGCACGAAAGCGUGGGGAGCAAACAGGAUUAGAUACCCUGGUAGUCCACGCCCUAAACGAUGUCAACUAGUUGUUGGGGAUUCAUUUCCUUAGUAACGUAGCUAACGCGUGAAGUUGGACCGCCUGGGGAGUACGGUCGCAAGAUUAAAAGCUUAAA